rnacentral:ncRNA from 2 species
GCCGCAGACACGGGGUGCCCCGCAGAGGGGGCUGAGAUCACACCCGGGAACCUGAUCGAGUUCGCACUCGCGGAGGGAUGUCGUCGAUGGACGCA